GCAAGUCGAGGGGUAACGAUGGAGCUUGCUCCAGGCGACGACCGGCGAACGGGUGAGUAACGCGUACACAACUUACCUCUAAGUGGGGGAUAGCCUCGGGAAACUGAGAUUAAUACCCCAUAGUAUUACUUUAUUAAUGAUUAAGUAAUUAAAGCUCAGGCGCUUAGAGAUGGGUGUGCGUCCCAUUAGCUAGUUGGUGAGGUAACGGCUCACCAAGGCGACGAUGGGUAGGGGGCGUGAGAGCGUGGCC
rnacentral:rRNA from 1 species